GUGCUCGCUUCGGCAGCACAUACACUAAAAUUGGAAUGGUAUAGAGAAGAUUAGCAUAGCCCCUGUGCAAGGAUGACAUGCAAAUUCGUGAAGCGUUCCAUAUUUUU
rnacentral:snRNA from 1 species